GGGAGAGGAGGAAUCGAGAGAACCUGGUCAGGAAUGCGGAGGCUGGGAGCUCGAGGAGAAGGGGAGGAGCAGGGACCUGGUGGCUGUUUCCAAGGAGAAACACAAACAUACAUCAUCUCAAGUAUCAGAAAUCUCUAUGUGAUGCUUUCCAGGGCCCAGCCCUCCAACAGAACAGGAUUGACAGGGCAGGGUGUCCACAGCUGGUUCCCAUCAACUGCAGAGAAAAGGCAGGCAGCCUGGAGAGAGGGGCCAUGUCCUCUUCUUCCCUGGAAAAGGCCAUGGCAGGAUCACAUGUCACUGCAGAAGGUGGAAGGGUGUAUUAGAAAUGGUGUCCCUAGGAAACUCAAGGCUCUGGGACUUGGAGGGGCAGGAGGAUCUUCCAGACAAAGUUUGUUAUAGAAAGCUCAAUUUAGAGUUCAAUGAACUGGAUUUGAAUCCAGGUUCUGACACUUAAUGCCCACAUGACCGUGGCAAGUUUACUCUCUGUGUCUCAGUUUAUUCAUCUAUAAAGUGAGCGGCUUGGAUAAGAGGCCUCUUAUGUCCCACAUGACUUUAAGAUACUGAUCUCCUAGUUAGAAUCCUGCUCCUGCUAUUAACAGGCUGUGCUGUGUGGGCUCCAGCUUUUGCCCUCAUAAGGAAAGGGGAUGGGGGUAAAGCCUAUUCCUGCUGUGACUUCUCUGGCAAAGGCAGUCAGGUGUUGCAUGCUCAUGAGGACGAACCAGCAUCAUGUUUGGGGACAUAACUCACCUCUCAGUGGCAUGAAGCUCUGGGCCUAAAAUGGCAGGAAGUCAUCCACUUCCACCCUGAGGAAGGGGUUGCACCAGGUUCGGAUGCUCCAGACUGUUUUCUGGCUAAUGAUCAAGGGAAGAAGACUCUCAUAGGGAUUGGAGUUCACUACACAGAGGUAAAACAGAAUGCUGCAGACAAGCAGGCACAAACCCGCCUUGCUCAAGAUUGUCCAGGAUUUCCUGAGGGGAGAGGAGAGAAGAGUAGAAGAGAGGAGGUAGGGAAGAAGUCCCUCCUGGACACUGCUGUCCAGGGAGGGCACACUAGCAUGGUGUAAAAAGCACAGGAUUUGGAUAAGAAUCCCAGCUCUGGCAUUAAUUCCCUUUGUGACCUUGGGCAAGAUGCUAAGCCUUUCUUUUACAUAAAGUAAGAGACUUUGAGUAGAUGAUAUCUAAGGUUCCUCCCAGCUCUGACAUUCUAUGUUCUAUGUACUAGUCCUUACAUUCCAGGUUCUAGGAGCUCCUCCAGCCCAGAUAUUUUUUUGUUCUGAGGUUUCUUCUAACGCAUCUGUGUUCCAAGGCUCCUCCCACCACUGACAUUUUAUGAUCCCUUAACUUUGUGGGGUUUGGGGAAAACUAAUUGAAUUGUCAAAGAAGAGACUUGCAGACCCC
rnacentral:lncRNA from 1 species